CUCCUGAGUAGUUGGGACUACAGGCGCCCGCCAUCACGCCCUGCUAAUUUUUUGUAUUUUUAGUAGAGUCGGGGUUUCACCGUGUUAGCCAGGAUGGUCUCGAUCUCCUGACCUCGUGAUCCGCCCACCUCCGCCUCUCCAAGUGCUGGGAUUACAGGCAUGAGCCACCGCGCCCGGCCCUUGUAUUUUUAAACUUUGACUUUAUGGAGACGAACACCAUCGUUUGCUGAACACUUGAAACAUGAUGAAAGAGCCACAGAGUUGGCAGAACUGUUUGAAAAUGCUGUGCAAGCGGUCUUCUCUGUCUUCUUUAUGGCCAGUAAAAUUCUCCAGAAGAGAUUUAUGGCAGCCUCACUCCCAGUAGUUUCUGCAUUUAGUGAGAUAAGGAAUGGAUUUUCUUCUGUGUAUUGCUGACACGAACAGGAGACGGAAAUACUGAGUAGAAGAGGGCGGUUCCCUGGCUAAGGCCCCACCCUCAAGCCUGGAUACCCGCGGCCCUAAAUGAGAAGAGGCGUUUCUGUUUGGGGCCCAAAAAGUUGCUUUUUGACCCACCACGCCCCCUAUCCUGCCCCCAUAUAAACCCCAAACCCCAACCUCCAGAGCAUACCAGCAGGUGAGGAGAUACGAGGCAAGCCGACUGACGGCAAAACGACGUAGCAGAGAAAGAGAGAAGAGGAGGGACGUCUGGACACCGAGAGAUGUUUGGCUCGGGGCAGUCAGAGCGGAGUCCAGCCCCUGGGCGGCCCAACUCCAGGGGAAGAUCACCUUCCCACUUCAUCCAUCCCCACCCUUCCAGCUCCCCAUCCAUCCUGCUGAAAGCCAUUUCCACCACUCAAUAAAACCUCGCAUUCAUCCUUCAAGUCCGUGUGUGACCCGAUUUUUCCUGGAUUCUGGAAAAGAGCUCGGAAUACAGAAAGCUGUCCCCUGGUCCUUUGCCCUUGUGAAAAAGCAGAAGGUCCAUUGAGCUGGUUAACACUCCAGCUGUCUGUGGUGGCCAAGCUGAAAGAGCUUUGUAACACUGGGGUUGCAGGCACCCACCUCUAGACGCUACCGCAGAGCCAGAGCCCAAAGCCCUCACCCCGGCCUCUGCACUUGCCCAUCUGCGUGCUCCCCCUCUCGCAAGGGGUUUCUGCAGAGGGGGCUACUGAACAGGUGAGCCACACCCCUGUCGCACGCCCUGCAAGGGGAAUCAGGGAACUCUUCCGUUUCAUUGCUUUGACCACAUCCUAUAAAUCUUGUUCUCCUUGUCUUUCAGCUCCAA
rnacentral:lncRNA from 10 species